rnacentral:rRNA from 1 species
GAAUUAGGUUAGAUUAUAAUUAAAUUGUAUAUUGAUAUAAGAAAAUUAAAUUUAUUAGGUGAAAUUUUAAAUUUAAUAAAUUUUAUAGUUUGAGAUAUUGAAAUUAUGAAAUUUUAAAAUUAAACUAGGAUUAGAUACCCUAUUAUUUAAAAUGUAAAUAAAUAAUCUAGAAUAGUAUUAGUUAUGUUCUUGAAAUUUAAAAAAUUUGGCGGUAUUUUAGUCUAUUCAGAGGAACCUGUUUUAUAAUUGAUAAUCCACGUUGGACCUUACUUAGUUUUGUUUAGUUUGUAUACCGCCGUCGUCAGAAUGUCUUUAAAAAGUAAUAAUUUUCUUAAAUUUUUAAUGUAAAUUAUGUCAGGUCAAGGUGCAGCUUAUAAUUAAGUAAAAAUGGGUUACAAUAAAUUUAUUUUUGGAUAAAAAUUUGAAAUUAUUUUUUGAAAUUGGAUUUGAUAGUAAAAUAAUAAAGAAAAAUUAUUUGAUUUUAGCUCUAAAAUAUGCACAUAUCGCCCGUCGCUCUCGUUAUUAAGAUGAGAUAAGUCGUAACAUAGUAGAUGUACCGGAAGGUGUAUCUAGAAAGAC